UACGGGGGGGGCAAGCGUUGUUCGGAAUUACUGGGCGUAAAGGGCUCGUAGGUGGCCCCAUAAGUCAGACGUGAAAUCCCUCGGCUCAACCGAGGAACUGCGUCUGAGACUGCGGGGCUUGAAUCCGGGAGAGGGAUGCGGAAUUCCAGGUGUAGCGGUGAAAUGCGUAGAUAUCUGGAGGAACACCGGUGGCGAAGGCGGCGACCUGGGUAGAGACUGACGCUGAGGUGCGAAAGCGUGGGGAGCAAACAGG
rnacentral:rRNA from 1 species